CAGUUUAAAACCGGAGUGUCAAACUCAGUUUCACCAAGGGCCACACUGGAAAAUUAGAAUCCCAUCAUGUAGACUUUAUUGCUUUUAUGUCAUCAAAAAAGUCAAAUAUCUUUGACUGUAUUAUUGCAUGUCUCCUAUAGUCUUCUCACAUACAAUGUGGUCUGAUUAAAGCCCUCAAAAAG